AGAGUUUGAUCAUGGCUCAGAUUGAACGCUGGCGGCAGGCCUAACACAUGCAAGUCGAGCGGUAGCACAGAGAGCUUGCUCUCGGGUGACGAGCGGCGGACGGGUGAGUAAUGUCUGGGAAACUGCCUGAUGGAGGGGGAUAACUACUGGAAACGGUAGCUAAUACCGCAUAACGUCGCAAGACCAAAGUGGGGGACCUUCGGGCCUCAUGCCAUCAGAUGUGCCCAGAUGGGAUUAGCUAGUAGGUGGGGUAACGGCUCACCUAGGCGACGAUCCCUAGCUGGUCUGAGAGGAUGACCAGCCACACUGGAACUGAGACACGGUCCAGACUCCUACGGGAGGCAGCAGUGGGGAAUAUUGCACAAUGGGCGCAAGCCUGAUGCAGCCAUGCCGCGUGUGUGAAGAAGGCCUUCGGGUUGUAAAGCACUUUCAGCGGGGAGGAAGGCGUUAAGGUUAAUAACCUCAUCGAUUGACGUUACCCGCAGAAGAAGCACCGGCUAACUCCGUGCCAGCAGCCGCGGUAAUACGGAGGGUGCAAGCGUUAAUCGGAAUUACUGGGCGUAAAGCGCACGCAGGCGGUCUGUCAAGUCGGAUGUGAAAUCCCCGGGCUCAACCUGGGAACUGCAUUCGAAACUGGCAGGCUAGAGUCUUGUAGAGGGGGGUAGAAUUCCAGGUGUAGCGGUGAAAUGCGUAGAGAUCUGGAGGAAUACCGGUGGCGAAGGCGGCCCCCUGGACAAAGACUGACGCUCAGGUGCGAAAGCGUGGGGAGCAAACAGGAUUAGAUACCCUGGUAGUCCACGCCGUAAACGAUGUCGAUUUGGAGGUUGUGCCCUUGAGGCGUGGCUUCCGGAGCUAACGCGUUAAAUCGACCGCCUGGGGAGUACGGCCGCAAGGUUAAAACUCAAAUGAAUUGACGGGGGCCCGCACAAGCGGUGGAGCAUGUGGUUUAAUUCGAUGCAACGCGAAGAACCUUACCUGGUCUUGACAUCCACAGAACUUUCCAGAGAUGGAUUGGUGCCUUCGGGAACUGUGAGACAGGUGCUGCAUGGCUGUCGUCAGCUCGUGUUGUGAAAUGUUGGGUUAAGUCCCGCAACGAGCGCAACCCUUAUCCUUUGUUGCCAGCGGUCCGGCCGGGAACUCAAAGGAGACUGCCAGUGAUAAACUGGAGGAAGGUGGGGAUGACGUCAAGUCAUCAUGGCCCUUACGACCAGGGCUACACACGUGCUACAAUGGCAUAUACAAAGAGAAGCGACCUCGCGAGAGCAAGCGGACCUCAUAAAGUAUGUCGUAGUCCGGAUUGGAGUCUGCAACUCGACUCCAUGAAGUCGGAAUCGCUAGUAAUCGUAGAUCAGAAUGCUACGGUGAAUACGUUCCCGGGCCUUGUACACACCGCCCGUCACACCAUGGGAGUGGGUUGCAAAAGAAGUAGGUAGCUUAACCUUCGGGAGGGCGCUUACCACUUUGUGAUUCAUGACUGGGGUGAAGUCGUAACAAGGUAACCGUAGGGGAACCUGCGGUUGGAUCACCUCCUU
rnacentral:rRNA from 19 species